AUGAAAGCAUACGUUACAGAGGGUAUGCUUGACAAGGCCAUUGCUCUCAAGAAGCGUGCCAAGAUGCGCGGAGGAAGGCUUAACGCGAAGACGUGGGAGAUUUUCAUGGAGCACUAUCUCAAGGUAGGGGAUCUGAAGAAUACCCAUUGGUGCACCGACCGUGCAAUCAAGAAGGGACACAGCAGCUGCAGGAUUUGGGUGCCACCACAUGACGUGACCAAGACCUUGAUUGACAACUUUGAGAAGAAGAAAGACGUGGACGGCGCUGAGAGUUUUGUCGAGGUGCUAAAGAGGGUGCAGAAAGAUCUGGGGACGGUGGUGUUUGAGCCGCUGGCACGGACGUAUGCGGCGGCUGGGAAGAAGUUCCCCGGGAAGCGACACCGUCUGAAGAUCGAAAACGUGGAACUCAACGAGGAAACUGACAAGCUGGUCGAUUCCAUCUGUGUUGAUUGA
rnacentral:rRNA from 1 species